rnacentral:lncRNA from 1 species
ACACCACUAUCUAACUUUUUAUAACGAACGCGUAGUUACAACGUAUAAUAGUUAACAAGUAGGAACGACGCCCACCAAGGGGACUUGGAAUCCGAGUUGUCACAUUGGAAAUCAAAAAUAAUACAUAAAAGACUUGUCUUCAUCAAGUGAUGUAAGAGUGGUGGCAGGUGUGAGAGAAGUGGUUUGCCAAGGGAUGGAUUGUAAUUGAACCAAGCAUCCCUAUUUAUAGCUGGAAGCAGACAGUUCACACGGCCCCAUGCCUCCUUUUUCUCUGUCUUCAUUUAAUGAGUAAUGUUAGUCCGUAUUGUGACAAUCUACACUUACGAGGUUAGCUGUAAGACCCUUAUCACCUUCUAAUAUUUCAUAUAGUACAUGCAUAUACAUAUCACAUUUAAAAUGCCGUUAUUGCAAAAACAAUGAUAAACCGACAUUUACAUAGAGUUCAAAACCUUCAAAACGAAGUUUACAAAGAUUUAGAACAUCUUGUUUACUAGCACAUACUUAACUUGCAAAACAUUUGUACCAUAUUUACAAACAUUUGAUAAAACUACACCAAAGUAUUUAGUAACAAAAGUUAUGAAUUUCAUUUGCGAAAGCUUCUUUUGUGCGCGUGUUCGGUUUGUUUAUCAUGAUGGAUCGUCAUCCGCAAUAUCAUG